rnacentral:lncRNA from 10 species
CCUGGGCUCAAGCAAUCCUCAACCUCAGCCUCUCAGAGUAGCUGGGACUAUAGGAGUGCACCACCACGUCCAGCUAAUAUUUUUAAAUUUUUUGUAGAGACAGGGUCUUGCUAUGUUGCCCAGGCUGGUUUCAAACUCCUGGGCUCAAGCAGUCCUCCUGCCUCAGUCUCUCAAAGCACCUGAAUAUAGGUGUGAGCCACCGCACACUGCCUUACAAUGUUGAAUAGGACCCGUAAGAGUGUAUAUCCCUUGCUUGUUCUCAAACUUAGGGGGAAAGUAUUUCGUCUUUCACUAUUAAUUUUAAUGUUGAGAAAGUUCCCUUCUGUCCAUAGCUUGUGAAGAGGUUUUUCUCAUGAAUGGAUGUUGAAUUUUGUCAAUUUUUUUUUCUGUAUCAAUGGAUAUGAUCAUGUGUAUUUUUUCUUUAGGCUUUUAAUAUGGUAAAUUACAUUAAUUUUUGAAUAAUAAACAAACCUUGCAUUCCUAGGAUAAACUCCACUUAGUAGCAGUAGUAUAUUAUUCUUCUUACAUAUUGCUGGAUUUGAUUUUCUAAUAUUUUGCUGGGGGGUUUUGUAUCUAUCUUCAUGACGGAUAUAGUUUUGUAGUUUUCUUGUACUGUUUUUGACUGGAUUUGGCAUUAGAGUAAUGCCGGUCUCAUUAAAUGAGUUGUGGAGUGUUCCUGCCUAUUUGUUUUCUGAAAGUGAUUGUGUAGAAUUGGAGCUAUUUUUUACUUUUUUUUUGAGACUGAGUCUCACUCUGUCACCCAGGCUGGAGUGCAGUGGCGCGAUCUUGGCUCACUGCAACCUCCGUCUCCUAGAUUCAAGCGAUUCUCCUGCCUCAGCCUCCCGAAUAGCUGGGAUUACAGGCAUGAGCCACCAUGCCUGGCUAAUUUUUGUAUUUUAGUAGAGAUGGGGUUUCACCAUGUUGGCCAGGCUGGUCUUGAACUCCUGACCUCAGGUGAUCGGUCCGCCUUGGCCUCCCAAAGUGCUGGGAUUACAGACGUGAGCCACCGCACCCGGCCUCUAUCAAACAUUUAAAGAAAAAAUAGUACCUAGUUUGAUAGAAUUCUCCAGUGAAACCACUGGGGCCUGGAGAUUUCUUUUUCAGGAAGGUUUAAACUGUUAAUUUCUUUAAUAGCUCUAGAACUACUCAGAUUAUCUAUUUCAUCUUGGGUGAGUUUGGUACUUUGUGGGCCUUGGGGAAUUGAACCAUUUAAUUUAACUGGUUGAAUUAUUUGUGUGUGUGGAGUUGUUUGUGGUAUUCCUUUAUUAUCCUUUUAAUAUCUUUAAGGUUUGUGAUUAUAUCUUCUCUUUCAUUCCUCAUAUUGGAAAUUGGUAAUUUUGUGUUUUUUUUUUUUUUUUUUUUUUUUUGGUUCGUCUCAUUGGAGGUACCAUUCAUUGAUUUCCUCAAAGAAACAGUUUCUGCUUUCAUUGAUUUUUCUCUAUUGUUUUUCUGUUUUCAGUUUCAUUGAUUUUUGGAUUUAUUUUUAUUUCAUACAUCUUGCUUGCUUUCAGCUUAUUUUGCUCUUCUUUUGUCAUUUCUUGAAGUAGGAACUUAGAUUAUUGAUUUGAGACUUUUCCUUUUUUCUAAUGUAAGAUUUAGUGCUAUAAUUUUUUUAGCACUCUUUAGCUCCCAUACAUUUUGAUAUGCUGUACUUUUUUAUUGUUUGAUAUAUUUAUUUUGUUUGAGACUCCCUCUUUGACUACUCAUGGAUUAUUUAAUAAUAAGUAUAAGCUGGGCAUGGUGGUGCACACCUGUAGUACCAGAUACCUGGGAGGCUGAAGUGAGAGGAUCACUUGAGCCUGGGAAGUUGAGGCUGCAGUGAGCUGGGAUCACACCACUGCACUCCAGUCUAGGCGAUAUAUUGUUUAAUUUCUAAUAGUCUGGAAGGUUUUUUGUUCUAUUUCUCUUAUUGAUAUCAAGACUAAUUUUAUCAUGAUCAGGAAACAUACUUUGUAUAAUUUCUAUUCAUAUUUAUUAAGGCUUUUUUUUUUUUUUUUACAAAGUCUCGUUCUGUUGCCCAGGCUGGAGUGGAGUGGCACGGUCUCAGCUCACUGCUACCUCCGCCUCCCAGGUUUUAAGCGAUUCUCCUGCCUCAGCCUCCCGAGUAGCUGGGAUUACAGGCACCUGCCACCAUGCCUGGCUAAUAUUUGUAUUUUUAGUAGAGACAGGGUUUUAACAUGUUGGCCAAGCUGGUCUUGAACUCCUGUUCUCAGGUGAUCCACCCGCCUCAGCCUCUCAAAGUGCUGGGAUUACAGGUGUGAGUCACCACGCUCAGCUGCAAACAUUCCCUUUUUUUAUUUUGUUUUUUGAGAUGAAGUUUCACUCUUGUUGCCCAGGCUGAAGUGCAAUGGCACGAUCUCGGCUCACUGCAACCUCCGCCUCCAGGGUUCAAUUGAUUCUUCUGCGUCAGCCUCCCAGGUAGCUGGGAUUAUAGGCAUGUGCCACCACGGCCAGCUAAUUUUAUAUUUUUAGUAGAGAUGGGGUUUCUCCAUGUUGGUCAGGCUGGUCUUGAACUCCCAACCUCAGGUGAUCCGCGCCCCCAUUGGCCUCCCAAAGUGCUGGGAUUACAGGAGUGAGCCACCGUGCCUGGCCGCAAAAAUUCUUAAUUUCACUUUCAUUCCUUAAGGGUAUUUUCACUGCAUAUAGAAUUCUGGGUUAAUAAUUUUUUCUUUCUUUCAGCAUUUAGUAACUAUUGUUGCACUUCUGAUAAGAAAUCUGCUGUCACUUGAAUUGCUCUCAUUUAAGUAAUUCUUUUUUUUUUAUUGCUGUUUUCAAGAUUUCUUUGUCUUUAGUUUUCAAGUUUGAUUAUUAUGUGUCUGGUCAUAAGUUUAUUUGAAAUUAUUCUAUUUUUGGUUCACUGAGCUUUUUUAAUUUCUAGGCUUAUAUCUUUUACCAAAUUCAGGAAGUUUUUUUUUUUUUUUUUUUUUUGAGAUGGAGUCUCGCUGUCUGGAGUACAGUGGUGCAGCCUCGGCUCACUGCAACCUCUGCCUCCCGGAUUCAAGUGAUUCUCCUGCCUCAGCCUUCUGAGUAGCUGGGAUUACAGGUGCGUGCCACCCUGCCUGGCUAAUUUUUGUAUUGUUAGCAGAGACUGGGUUUCACUUUGUUGGCCAGGCUCGUCGCAAACUCCCGACCUCAGGUGAUCUGUUGGCCUUGGCCUCCCAAAGUCCUGGAAUUACAGGUGUGAGCCACCGUGCCUGGCAAAAUUCAGGAAGUUUUCAACUGGUAUUUUUUAAAUUCUUUUUUCUGCACUACAUGCUUUCUCUUCUCGUUGUGUAAUUUAGGUAACACAAAUACUAGACUUUUCAGCUUUGAACAUAUCCCUGACACUGUUUUUUUUUCUUCAGUUUAUUUUUCUCUCUGUUGUUCUGAUUGUAUAAUUUCUUUUUGUCUAUCCUGAAGUUCACUGGCUGUUUCCCUGUCAUCUCCAUUCUAUUACUGAGAUCAUUCAGUGAGGUUCUUUUUUUCAGUUAUUGUAUUUUUUCAGUUCUAGUUUUCACUUGCUUCUUCAUUAUAUCUUCUAUUUCUUUGCUGAAACAUCUUUCCAGUUGUUUCAGUAAUGUUUGCCCUUACUUACUGGAGCAUUUUAAAAAAUAGCAGCCGCUUUAAAGCCUUUGUCAGAUAAUUCCAUUGUCUGUGUCAUGUCAGCACUGACAUCUGUUGAUUUUCUUUUCCCAGGCAAGUUGAGAUUUUCCUGGCCUUUUGUAAACUAAAGAAUAUGUUCUCGGCCGGGCACGGUGGCUCACGCCUGUAAUCCCAGCACUUUGGGAGGCCGAGG